CUACGGGGCGCAGCAGUGAGGAAUAUUGCACAAUGGGGGGAACCCUGAUGCAGCAACGCCGCGUGGAGGAUGACGCAUUUCGGUGUGUAAACUCCUUUUAUAUGUCAAGAAAAUGACGGUAGCAUAUGAAUAAGCGCCGGCUAACUCCGUGCCAGCAGCCGCGGUAAUACGGAGGGCGCAAGCGUUACUCGGAAUCACUGGGCGUAAAGGACGCGUAGGCGGGUUGAAAAGUCAGGUGUGAAAGCCUACAGCUUAACUGUAGAACUGCACUUGAAACUCUCAAUCUAGAGUAUGGGAGGGGGAGAUGGAAUUAUUGGUGUAGGGGUAAAAUCCGUAGAUAUCACUAGGAAUACCUAAAGCGAAGGCGAUCUCCUGGAACAUUACUGACGCUAAGGCGUGAAAGCGUGGGGAGCAAACAGGAUUAGAUACCCCCGUAGUC
rnacentral:rRNA from 1 species